rnacentral:rRNA from 1 species
CGUGAAAUUGUUGAAAGGGAAGCGUUUAUGACCAGACUUGGGCUUGGUUAAUCAUCUGGGGUUCUCCCCAGUGCACUUUUCCAGUCCAGGCCAGCAUCAGUUUUCCCCGGGGGAUAAAGGCGGCGGGAAUGUGGCUCUCUUCGGGGAAUGUUAUAGCCCACCGUGUAAUACCCUGGGGGGGACUGAGGUACGCGCAUCUGCAAGGAUGGUGGCGUAAUGGUCAUCAACGACCCGUCUUGAAACACGG